AACAUACAUACUCUUAAACUGUGAUGAGGUCAAACCCUACAUAAACUUGUAUGAGCAACAAUUACAUCAUCAAAAUUCAUCAAUGACUGCAAGUGAGGUUGCUGAAAAGUUAGAGACCGAAUUUGCAUUAUGGUUUCAAAUAUAUAUAUAAGGUAUCAUGGCAGAUCUUCCAGCACCACUCCGUGGAUCCACCGU